rnacentral:rRNA from 1 species
GAUGAACGCUGACAGAAUGCUUAACACAUCAGCAAUUGAUUGGUGGCGGACGGGUGAUUAACUCGUUAUGAACUUGCCUCACCGCUAGGGCCAACAUUUGGAAACGAAUGCUACUACCUAAUUCUGUGAGAGAGCUUUGCGUCCCAUUAGCUAGUUGGAGAGGUAACGGCUCACCAAGGCGAUGAUGGGUAGCCGGCCUGAGAGGGUGAUCGGCCACAAGGGGACUGAGACACGGCCCGUACGCCUACUGGAGGCAGCAGGGAGGAAUAUUGGAAAAUGGACCAAAGUCUGAGCCAGCAAUUCUGUGUGCACGAUGAAGUUUUCGGAAUGUAAAGUGCUUUCAGUUGGGAAGCGGUACCAACAGAAGAAGUGACGGCUAAAUACGUGCCAGCAGCCGCGGUAAUAC